ACGCGUUGGGAGCUCUCCCAUAUGGUCGACCUGCAGGCGGCCGCGAAUUCACUAGUGAUUAGAGUUUGAUCCUGGCUCAGAACGAACGCUGGCGGCAUGCCUAACACAUGCAAGUCGAACGAAGGCUUCGGCCUUAGUGGCGCACGGGUGCGUAACGCGUGGGAAUCUGCCCCUUGGUUCGGAAUAACAGUUAGAAAUGACUGCUAAUACCGGAUGACGACGUAAGUCCAAAGAUUUAUCGCCGAGGGAUGAGCCCGCGUAGGAUUAGCUAGUUGGUGUGGUAAAGGCGCACCAAGGCGACGAUCCUUAGCUGGUCUGAGAGGAUGAUCAGCCACACUGGGACUGAGACACGGCCCAGACUCCUACGGGAGGCAGCAGUGGGGAAUAUUGGACAAUGGGCGAAAGCCUGAUCCAGCAAUGCCGCGUGAGUGAUGAAGGCCUUAGGGUUGUAAAGCUCUUUUACCCGGGAUGAUAAUGACAGUACCGGGAGAAUAAGCUCGGCUAACUCCGUGCCAGCAGCCGCGGUAAUACAUCGAAUUCCCGCGGCCGCCAUGGCGGCCGGGAGCAUGCGACGUCGGGCCC
rnacentral:rRNA from 1 species